rnacentral:lncRNA from 1 species
CGGGGCCCUGGGCCCCGGAAAUUAGAAAUGGAGAAAUGGAAGGCUGGGUGCUGGCGUUUCGGAAAUGCAUGCUCGUGGUGUUCCUCUUUAUGUAAGGGAAGCUUCUGGGCCUUUUCCCUGCCUGUCGAACGUUCUGUAUGUUUUUGCGGGAUGUGUGAGGUGUGCUGUCUUGCUCCACUUUGAGGCACCGCCCCCACUGCGGGAGUGCUGGGGACCUGCCCCAUGGGGCAUCCUCGGGGCCAGCCCUGUGGCCACAGGCAUCUGGGCCCUCGCUGCCCCUGGCCGGGACACACUGCCGGUCCUGUGCAGUGGCUCAAAGCCCCUCUACCGGGGGUGACCCGGUCUCUCCGGAGAUGAAGUGCAGCGGGGGUCUAGGCCGGCUUCCUGGCCCCCCACCCCUCCUGGCUUUACCCC